rnacentral:misc_RNA from 1 species
UUGAUCUGCUUGACCUUUUUGAGAGGAGUGUCGCUUGCUUAAUUUUUUGCAUUAUCUGGUUUUAGCCCUUUUAUCUUGAAACAUUCAGCUGUUUACAAUUUUGAACAACUAGUUUUGUAUUUGAAGUAUCCAUGUUCUUGCUGAACGAGUCUCUUGAACUUAAAACAAUAGUUUCUAGUAAAAUUUUGUGUUGAAAGUAUACAUUUCCUUGCAGUGAUCGAGUUUCUUGAAUCUCAAACAAAUAAAAUUCUAG